AGUCCCUCUCAGAAAAAAGUCCUGCCUCUAAGCUAAAUAUCGCUCCCCGAUUGGCUUUGUGGUUUUGCUAAUUUACAUGUGACUUGGCUGUCCCCACUGUCACUCCA